GCUCAGGAUGAACGCUGGCGGCGUGCCUAACACAUGCAAGUCGAGCGAGAAUGUUUUAACGGAAUCUUCGGAUGAAGUUAAAACAGGAAAGCGGCGGACGGGUGAGUAACGCGUAGGCAACCUACCCUAUACAGAAGGAUAGCCUCGGGAAACUGGGAAUAAUACUUCAUAAAACUCUAACAUCGCAUGAUGAAUGAGUCAAAAUUCAGGUGGUAUAGGAUGGGCCUGCGUCUGAUUAGCUAGUUGGUAAGGUAAUGGCUUACCAAGGCGACGAUCAGUAGCCGACCUGAGAGGGUGAUCGGCCACACUGGAACUGAGACACGGUCCAGACUCCUACGGGAGGCAGCAGUGGGGAAUAUUGCACAAUGGGCGAAAGCCUGAUGCAGCAACGCCGCGUGAACGAUGAAGGCCUUCGGGUCGUAAAGUUCUGUUCUAAGGGAAGAAUAAAUGACG
rnacentral:rRNA from 1 species